rnacentral:rRNA from 1 species
UUCGCAAUGCCCGAAAGGGUGACGAUGCGACGCCGCGUGAGCGAAGAAGGCCCUAGGGUUGUAAAGCUCUGUCGAGGGUUAUGAAAUAUAGAUGGGUUAAUACCCCAUUUAUUUGACAAAAGCCCAAAAGGAAGCCACGGCUAACUCUGUGCCAGCAGCCGCGGUAAUACAGAGGUGGCGAGCGUUGUUCGGCAUUAUUGGGCGUAAAGAGCACGUAGGUGGUUUUGUAAGUCAGGUGUGAAAGCCUUCUGUUCAAAGGAAGAACGGCAUCUGAAACUGCAGAUCUUGAGUGUAGGAGGGGAGAGUGGAACUUCUGGUGGAGCGGUGAAAUGCGUAGAUAUCAGAAGGAACGUCGGCGGCGAAAGCGACUCUCUGGCCUAUUACUGACACUGAGGUGCGAAAGUUAGGGGAGCAAACGGGAUUAGAUACCCCGGUAGUCCUAACCGUAAACGAUGGGCACUAAGUAGAGGGGUUUU